AUUGAACGCUGGCGGCAGGCCUAACACAUGCAAGUCGAACGAGUCGCGGACGGGUGAGUAAUGUGGGGAACUCUGCCUGGUGGAGGGGGAUAAACACUAGAAACUGUAGCUAAUCGCGCAUCCCCUCAUGUGUGCCCAUAUGGGAUUAGCGAGGUGGUGGGGUAACGGCUCACCAAGGCGACGAUCCCUAGCUGGUCUGAGAGGAUGAACAGCCACACUGGAACUGAGACACGGUCCAGACUCCUACGGGAGGCAGCAGUGGGGAAUAUUGCACAAUGGGCGCAAGCCUGAUGCAGCCAUGCCGCGUGUAUGAAGAAGGCCUUCGGGUUGUAAAGUACUUUCAGCGGGGAGGCGUUACCCGCAGAAGAAGCACCGGCUAACUCCGUGCCAGCAGCCGCGGUAAUUC
rnacentral:rRNA from 1 species